CAUAAUUCAGCAAUCUCUGUCAAGCAAAAGGGAUAUUUUUGAAUGCUGGUUCAUUAAAAAUCACUUUACAGAACUUGUAAACAUCUGAUGGUUAGAACCUUAUUCUGGUUUCCUUGGUAACACUAAACAAUCAUUUAAAAAGUAACAGAAAUGAAUACUGUUGCUUUUGUCUAAUGAUAUGAAAAAUAUGAUGGAGAUGUUGUGAAGACAUUAAAGAGCUUGACAUCUUUCUAGAGCAAGACAGUCAUCUUUCAUAGGAUGCAUGUGAAACGCAGCCACUGAAACGCUGCCGUUACAAACACUGAUGCCAGACGAUCUACAAGGGAAGGUUAUUUGUCAAUGUCUGUUAGCAUUCAAGGACAACAAUAAACCAUAAAGUUUAUUUGAAAAAGGUUGAGGUCAGAAGAGCCUUGCAAACCAUGGAGAAACCUGGUGUUAAGCCCAGCUGCUGUAAGAUCCUCCCAAAGCUAUGCACUGUCAACCUCAGGUUCUGCACUGGGAUCAACCACCUUUCCAGAGACCUUCAAAGUUUGGGACUAAACGCAUGUUUCAUCCAAACUGUAACAGCGACGAAAGAGUUUUGUGGGAUUACAAGGUACAAGUGCUCAGGCUGUCUGUGCUUCUACAGUGAACUUGAGCAGCUGAUGACACACAUAGAGCAGGGCUGGAGAGAAGGCUACAGCUGUAGAGCAUUCUACCGUAAGCUGAAGGACAUGAAGGACUGCAGGGAGUUACUGACUGUACAUGAAGAAGAAGCAGCUGCAGCUUCUGAAAGUGACCCUCAGCUCUGUGCCUCCUUGGCUCUGAGGCAGAGCAAGAGAGAUGAGAAGCUGGACAUGGUCCUCAAGUGGCUGCAGGAGUGCCUGUCAAGUUGCUGGCAAUGAUUUCAUUAAAACAUUUAUGGCUGCAUUUGUUGCGAUUUUAGAUUUUCAGAAGAAAAUUUGCUGAGUGUCCUGCUUUUUUCAAUACAAUGACAGUGAAUGGGGACAACGGCUGUGAAGCUCCAUAAAGAACUCUAAAAGUAUCAUAGAAUUGGUCCAUAUGACUUGUGCAUUAUAUUCUAGAUCUUCUAAAAUCAUUCAAUAGCUUUAUGGCAGGAUGAGACUGGAAUUUGUUAUUAAGUGAUAAACCUCUUCUCCUUAGCAAUUAAAAACUUGUUUGUAUUUUCUUAAAUCCAAAUAUGGCUGAUUAAUAUGUGAUGUGCCAAGUUUGAUGCACAGGUAAGUCAUUGGACAUUUGCAUACACUACUGUUUAAAAAUGU